GGGGAAUCUUGGACAAUGGGGGCAACCCUGAUCCAGCCAUGCCGCGUGAGUGAAGAAGGCCCUAGGGUCGUAAAGCUCUUUCGCCGGGGAAGAUAAUGACUGUACCCGGUAAAGAAACCCCGGCUAACUCCGUGCCAGCAGCCGCGGUAAUACGGAGGGGGUUAGCGUUGUUCGGACUUACUGGGCGUAAAGGGCACGUAGGCGGAUCUGCAAGUUGGGGGUGAAAUCCCGGGGCUCAACCCCGGAAUUGCCCUCAAGACUGCGGGUCUCGAGUUCGAGAGAGGUGAGUGGAAUUCCGAGUGUAGAGGUGAAAUUCGUAGAUAUUCGGAGGAACACCAGUGGCGAAGGCGGCUCACUGGCUCGAUACUGACGCUGAGGUGCGAAAGCGUGGGGAGCAAAC
rnacentral:rRNA from 1 species